GACGAACGCUGGCGGCGUGCUUAACACAUGCAAGUCGAACGUGAUUUUUGUAGAAAUUCUUUCGGGAAUGGAAAUGAAAUGAAAGUGGCGAACGGGUGAGUAACACGUGAGCAACCUACCUUACACAGGGGGAUAGCCGUUGGAAACGACGAUUAAUACCGCAUGAGACCACAGAAUCGCAUGAUAUAGGGGUCAAAGAUUUAUCGGUGUAAGAAGGGCUCGCGUCUGAUUAGCUAGUUGGAAGGGUAAAGGCCUACCAAGGCGACGAUCAGUAGCCGGUCUGAGAGGAUGAACGGCCACAUUGGAACUGAGACACGGUCCAAACUCCUACGGGAGGCAGCAGUGGGGAAUAUUGCACAAUGGGGGGAACCCUGAUGCAUCGACGCCGCGUGAGCGAAGAAGGUUUUCGAAUCGUAAAGCUCUGUCCUAUGAGAAGAUAAUGACGGUAUCAUAGGAGGAAGCCCCGGCUAAAUACGUGCCAGCAGCCGCGGUAAUACGUAUGGGGCGAGCGUUGUCCGGAAUUAUUGGGCGUAAAGGGUACGUAGGCGGUUUUUUAAGUCAGGUGUGAAAGCGUGAGGCUUAACCUCAUUAAGCACUUGAAACUGGAAGACUUGAGUGAAGGAGAGGAAAGUGGAAUUCCUAGUGUAGCGGUGAAAUGCGUAGAUAUUAGGAGGAAUACCGGUGGCGAAGGCGACUUUCUGGACUUUUACUGACGCUCAGGUACGAAAGCGUGGGGAGCAAACAGG
rnacentral:rRNA from 1 species